UGCAGUCGAGCGGUAGAGAGAAGCUUGCUUCUCUUGAGAGCGGCGGACGGGUGAGUAAUGCCUAGGAAUCUGCCUGGUAGUGGGGGAUAACGUUCGGAAACGGACGCUAAUACCGCAUACGUCCUACGGGAGAAAGCAGGGGACCUUCGGGCCUUGCGCUAUCAGAUGAGCCUAGGUCGGAUUAGCUAGUUGGUGAGGUAAUGGCUCACCAAGGCGACGAUCCGUAACUGGUCUGAGAGGAUGAUCAGUCACACUGGAACUGAGACACGGUCCAGACUCCUACGGGAGGCAGCAGUGGGGAAUAUUGGACAAUGGGCGAAAGCCUGAUCCAGCCAUGCCGCGUGUGUGAAGAAGGUCUUCGGAUUGUAAAGCACUUUAAGUUGGGAGGAAGGGUUGUAGAUUAAUACUCUGCAAUUUUGACGUUACCGACAGAAUAAGCACCGGCUAACUCUGUGCCAGCAGCCGCGGUAAUACAGAGGGUGCAAGCGUUAAUCGGAAUUACUGGGCGUAAAGCGCGCGUAGGUGGUUUGUUAAGUUGGAUGUGAAAUCCCCGGGCUCAACCUGGGAACUGCAUUCAAAACUGACUGACUAGAGUAUGGUAGAGGGUGGUGGAAUUUCCUGUGUAGCGGUGAAAUGCGUAGAUAUAGGAAGGAACACCAGUGGCGAAGGCGACCACCUGGACUAAUACUGACACUGAGGUGCGAAAGCGUGGGGAGCAAACAGGAUUAGAUACCCUGGUAGUCCACGCCGUAAACGAUGUCAACUAGCCGUUGGAAGCCUUGAGCUUUUAGUGGCGCAGCUAACGCAUUAAGUUGACC
rnacentral:rRNA from 1 species